rnacentral:rRNA from 1 species
UACGGAGGGGGCAAGCGUUGUUCGGAAUCAUUGGGCGUAAAGGGCGCGUAGGCGGCCGUUCAAGUCGGAUGUGAAAUCCCUCGGCUUAACCGAGGAACUGCAUUCGAUACUGGGUGGCUAGAGUCCGGGAAGGGGUAGUGGAAUUCCCAGUGUAGCGGUGAAAUGCGUAGAUAUUGGGAAGAACACCGGUGGCGAAGGCGGCUACCUGGACCGGUACUGACGCUGAGGCGCGAAAGCCAGGGGAGCGAAUGGG